ensembl:lncRNA
CUGGGAUCCCAGACAGCAAUGGGGAUGGAAGAGUCCCCGGGGUCAGAAGCUGGGACACAAACAUGUGGUAAGUGGGGUUUGGAGAGCAGUCUGUCCCUCCGAGAGCUGAAGGAUGUGGCCACUGCCGUCCACGCUCCCCACAGUCCUGACUACAAACGGCCCUGGGCCUCGUCUUCCCAGACACCAAGAGCUUCAUCCACGUGUCUUCUUCUAAGGUGAGGGGCGCUGUCGGUCAGGAGCUGACCUCCUCUGCACCCUGGGUGCAGGCUGCAAGCUCCCACCUCCUUUUGGGAGAGAGGAGCUAUGUCCGGGAUGUUGGUUUUCCCUCCAUGCAAACCUCGUUUUUGUCCUGCAGCUUCCUCAGAGAAUUCUCCAGAAACAGCACUCUCCACCAAGCAUCAGGGGUGGGUUUUGUUGACCGUUUUUCUCAUUGAGCAUUUUGUAGGGAAAGGCAGAGGAGAGGACUCGCCAGUCUCUCGCCAGUCUGGGAGAUUCACAUCCUCCAAGAACCAGAAUGCAAGAGCGUCUGCACAGACAUGGUUAAGUGAGAAUCUUGGGAUGGCAACACCCUAGAUGCAGGGAAUGCAUGCUCUGUCAUGUCUGACUCUUUGUGAGCCCAUGGACUGCAGCCUGCCAGGCUCCUCUUCUGUCCAUGCGAUUUCCCAGCAGCCCCAGGAAAUGAACAUCCCUGAAGACGAGGGAACAAAGACAGUGCUGCUGAGAUCCGAUCCUCUUCCCUGUGAGGGUCCCCUCGGCGAUGUCUCAGCUUCGCCCCUGCAUUCCUGACCCCCUCGGACAAGACUGUCUCCCAGUGGAUGACACAGGAAAGAGCUCCUCCUCCCUCCAUGACCGGUCAGUUCUCGUUGUCACCUCAUUGUCACCCAAACGUCUGAAGAUUUAACUCCGGGUCCUUGGCAACCAGCCCAGGCCACGCCCAGCAGGUGCCCCCGGCCUGAGCAAGGGUCGGUGCCCAGAGGCUCUGCCCUUCUGCAAGCCAGGACAGUUUCCCGGCCUGAGGUCUUUGGAAACGAGAGGCCCCUCAGAAGGGCCAGCUGUCCCUGGGACCGGGUGACUUCUCACGGCCGUCUGCGGGCAGUACCCACUCGGGGCUGAGCACCAG